rnacentral:rRNA from 1 species
GGAGGAUGCGAGCGUUAUCCGGAUUUAUUGGGUUUAAAGGGUGCGUAGGCGGCACGCCAAGUCAGCGGUGAAAUNNCCGGGCUCAACCCGGAGUGUGCCGUUGAAACUGGCGAGCUAGAGUACACAAGAGGCAGGCGGAAUGCGUGGUGUAGCGGUGAAAUGCAUAGAUAUCACGCAGAACCCCGAUUGCGAAGGCAGCCUGCUAGGGUGCGACAGACGCUGAGGCACGAAAGCGUGGGUAUCGAACAGGAUUAGAUACCCUGGUAGUCCACGCAGUAAACGAUGAAUACUAACUGUUUGCGAUACAAUGUAAGCGGUACAGCGAAAGCGUUAAGUAUUCCACCUGGGGAGU